rnacentral:lncRNA from 1 species
AUCACAAUCCUGUAAUUUUAUGUUUUUUGCUGAUUUUUUUACAGAAAAGUCAAAUACUAAUAAGUAUACUUAUUACAAUAUAAUAUUAUCACACAGAAUCACCAGUACCCAUUACAGAACUUAUAACAGAUCCACUCUAUUUAUAAUUACUUUAUAUCUAACAUUUCAGAUUCUAGACUCAGUGAUGGUUUCUCAUACUGUUUUUUUUAAUAUCAUUGUUAACGUCCAUAUAAAGAUUCCUGCUGAUCAGGCUGGUUGAUUUAUUAUUGAACUGUUUAUAUACAGUUUUCGUUUAUCUUUUAGUUAUUUUAGUUUUUGUAUUUCAUUUUAGUUAGUUAUACCACCGGCUAAUUAUAUCCAUGAUGGGGCUGGCCUUCUUUCAGGAAGAUUAAGUUUGGCCGUCCUCAUAAAAAAUUUUCUAGAAUCCCAGAUCUUUCAGAAUAUAAAUGCUCUUUUACUUGGCCAUCCGACUGAUGCAGUUUUUAUAAGCACUAUAUGCUAUAGUGCUUAUGAAAUGUGCUUCAAUAAGUAAUUGAAACAGGAUUUCAGAAAAUUUGUGGAAGAGCUUGACGAAAUUUAUUUGGAUUUUUCAAAGAAAGGAGCGCAUAACUCCUGAAUGAUCGCUAGAUCGGAUAUAUUCUAUACAGUAGAAGGCAAUAAGCAAUCAUCUACUGUCAAGUUUUCGGAAAUAGUUGUAAAACAUUAAGCAUUUAAUUUAUGUGUCGUUGAGAAUUGUAAUUUUCUUUUCUUGUUUCACUGAUAAACUUUAAUGAAUAGGCUACUUAUUAGGAGUUACUGAUGGCUCUGACGCGAAUAUGCUAAAUUUUCCCGCAGAUUCUGGCGCUCUUGUUGAUCAUGUGACUAUACUACUAGCAGGAAUGAGGUCGUCAUGAAUAAAUACAAUUUGGCAAUGAGAUGGCACUUACUAUAAAUGUUUCACCUGCUCUCGACUAAGUUAAUUUAGUUGUGUCCACUUCUGCUCAAUAUAGCUAAUGGAAAUAUGACAUAAUAUCAAUUAAUCGUAUGAAUUGGCUCUAAGUGAAGCGUUUAACAAAAACGAAAUUAAUUAAAAUAAGAAUUUAAAUUAACAGAUCUUUAGCAAAAACAUCCUUACUUGUGCUAAGAAUAAUUAGAAUGCUGACAAACAUGUUUGUUUACAAUUCGGCUUUUAUUACCAUCGUCACGAUCUUGUCGUAUUGAUUUUAUCGCAGUAUACGAUUGGACUCCACCUAUGUGUUGCAAAAAUUUGAUGUCGAUGAAAAAUAACUUGGCCCAUUAUUAUAUGAAUAAAUUGAUGGAACAGCAUCUCUGCAAAAUUCUAUAAAAGUCUAUAACUUCUUGCAUUCUGCUAAGCAUCUUUUCAAUAGUCCACAAACUUAAGAUUAUGUUUAGAUUUUUAUAACGUGCAUUUGCAGCAAUGACUUUUUUGUUUAUUUUAUCGACCUUCAGAGCCUGAAAAGAUCUAAUUGUUCUCUUUUCGUGGACUGCAACACAAUUAUCGAUCUCCUAUCGACCAACGGUAGACUGUCUACACUUGUUGUGUUUGCGUCUACACCAUUACCUUCCUUAUUUGGUUUGGCAAGUCACCAACAACGAAACCUUUUUUUCGUCAUUAUAAUCCUUGGUGUAAUUCCAACAUCGUGAUAUCAUAGUGUACAAGUCUUCUUAAUUAAACCAUUCUUGACACGUGUAUGCAAUAAUGCAUAAAUCGGUAUCAUAAUAUUUUAAUAGCUUAUAUCUUGUCGCAUAAAAUACUGUACUGUUGAAAAUUAUUUAUUCUUGAAUUUUAAUUCUGUUAGUUUUUCAAUAAAACG